AGGCAACACCCAAAGCCACUGUCAGAUGUCAUGGAGAUGAGACCUCACAAGGAAAGGUGAGGAGCCAAGAUGUCCCACUAGAUGCAGCCAAGGAGAGCUUCUCCAAUGGAAAGAGACCAGACCAUCAAGUAGACUGGCAUAUUCUGAAAAGAUCUCUGGAAAGAAGGCAUAGAGACUGGACAGAGGGAAGUUUCAAGCCCUGGGCUGAAAGAGGAGGAAUUUGGGAACCCUGCAUGGGAUUGCCUAGCACAAAGACUUGUUCCUGGCUCUAAGGUGAAGGGCCUACUCAACGUGAAGAUGAUGAGAAUGAAGACCUUUAUGAUGAUCUGCUUCCACUUAAAGAAUAGUAUUUGGCUGACUCCUGGACUAUGCAAGCACAAGAAGAGAUUUCAGAAGGUUUGGAAGAGAGUCUCUUCUGAGAGGCUGAGGGCUAAGAAGACUGCCCUGUGCAGGAAAGAUGUUGGAGUGCAAGCCCAUCUGGAAUGGAGAGACCUCGAUGAAACACAUAGGCAAUUAAUUAGAUCCCAGAAAGGCCACACUGUGCAAUUGACUGCAGGUAACUGAAACUGCGGAAAGUGAAACUGCAGAUAAGAGGGACCACUGUAAAUAAGUGACAUGAAUGAUACUGCAAAGGACCAUAGCCUAACCAGCCAAGCAAACUGGAAGUACCUUUAGACUCACGCUUUGCCAAGCUCAGUUCCAGAAUCACAUGAUGAAAAGAAUGAUGGAAAGAAAAUGUUUGUGAUAUUAAAAUUAAGGAAAUUACUCCAACUCAGAGUUUCAUCCUAAACUGAGAGACCAACAUCAAAAGAAUCUUCUCAAGUUUCUGAGUGACGGCAAGAAACUAGACUACUGUUACCAAGGAACUUUUUAAAGCAAACUGCUUUUGCUGAUAUGAGGAGAAAGUUAAUUAAUAAGAAAAUACCUUAAAUGUGUUUUGAAGCUGUUAAAGGUGUGUAACAAUUACUCUGAAUUUAUUAUAGCACCAGUUAGAGACCCAGGAAAACUAUAAAAUUGCACAUCAGGGCAGAGCUGAGAGACGACAUCUGCUUUGGGAUUGAAAAAAAAAAAAAAAAAAAAAAAAACAGAAAGGGAACAAGAGAAAUAGCAAGUCAUUUAACAUUUGGAAUUCAGGACUCCAGACUCAUCUAUAGGACCAAACUGCUCUUGAAAUAUACUAGAUUUCCUUUAGCUCCAGAGGUUUUGCCUUCAUCAAAUGCCUGUAACACUCUUAUUGUCAAAAGGAAUAAGUGAUGGUGAACACUGUGCCAGAUAGGAGGUACCACACACAGGUUCAGCAAAAAGCAGAAGCAAGAGGUAUAUUUUUUGUUAGAUCUUAGUUCAUCCCUAUGUAACAGACAUUUCAGGGAAGGGAGGAGAAAAUAACAAAGCUACCUAUGAGCAAAGGUAAAUGGGAUUCCCUAUCCUUGUUUCCCAGUUUCGGUCAUGGUAUUGCUUAUCCAUUAUUAGUUAUCCACUGCUGGGUAACAAAUUACUCCCAAACUUAGCAGCUUCAAACAACAAUAAACAUGUAUUAUGUCACAUAGUUUGUUUCAGAACUUUGGGAGUGGCUUAGCUGAAUGGUUGUAGCUCCAGGUGCUUUUUGUGGUUGCAGUCAAGAAGUCAGCCCAUUCACACAGCUGCAGACAAAAGGACUCGGUUCCUUGCAGGCUGAGGCCUGAUUAGGCAGGGGGCCUGAGUGUCUCGCCACAUGGACCUCUCCAUAGGGCUGCUUUUCGUGGCAUGGCAGCUGACUCCCCUCAGAACAGAUGAUCAAAAGCAGCAAAAGAGAAGCCUCACAUGACUUUUGCCCUAGCCUUGGGAAUCACACUCUUCCAUUUCUACAAAAUCCUAUUGGUUACAUAGC
rnacentral:lncRNA from 1 species